rnacentral:rRNA from 1 species
GACGAACGCUGGCGGCGUGCUUAACACAUGCAAGUCGAACGAUGACGGUGGUGCUUGCACCACCUGAUUUAGUGGCGAACGGGUGAGUAACACGUGAGUAACCUGCCCUUCACUUCGGGAUAACCUCGGGAAAUCGUGGCUAAUACCGGAUAUGAACCCCUGUCGCAUGGUGGGGGUUGAAAGAUUUAUCGGUGAAGGAUGGACUCGCGGCCUAUCAGUUUGUGGUGAGGUAAUGGCUCACCAAGACGACGAUCAGUAGCCGGACUGAGAGGUUGAACGGCCACAUUGGGACUGAGACACGGCCCAG